UAAAAAGCUCGUAGUUGGAUCUCGGCGGGCAGGGGGGUGGUUCGCUCUUCAGCGCUACUGCCCCGCUUUGCCCGUGUGAUUGGCGGAGGUUUCGGGGUGCUCUUCGUUGAGUGACUCGGAGCGCCGUCAGGUUUACUUUGAAAAAAUUAGAGUGCUCAAAGCAGGCUUUUCACGCUUGAAUAUUCGUGCAUGGAAUAAUGGAAUAGGAACUCGUUUCUAUUUUGUUGGUUUUCGGAAAUCGAGUUAAUGAUUAACAGGGACAAUUGGGGGCAUUAGUAUUCAGACGACAGAGGUGAAAUUCUUGGACCGUCUGAAGACUGACUACUGCGAAAGCAUUUGCCAAGAGUGUUUUCAUUAAUCAAGAACGAUAGUGAGAGGUUCGAAGGCGAUCAGAUACCGCCCUAGUUCUAACCAUAAACGAUGCCAGCUAGCGAUCUGCCGAGUUUUUUUUGUAGGCUCCGCAGGAAGCUUUCGGGAAACCAAAGCUUUUGGGUUCCGGGGGAAGUAUGGUUGCAAAGCUGAAACUUA
rnacentral:rRNA from 1 species